UCUUACACCUAGGUCAGUCGUAGAACUAUGAGGCAUGUAGACCAUAACAUACAGGCUGUGACUGGUAGGAGGCAUGUAGACAAUAACAUACAGGCUGUGACUGGUAUGAGGCAUGUAGACAAUAACAUACAGGCUGUGACUGGUAGGAGGCAUGUGGACAAUAACAUAUAGGCUAUGACUGGUAGGAGGCAUGUAGACAAUAACAUACAGGCUGUGACUGGUAGGAGGCAUGUGGACAAUAACAUACAGGCUAUGACUGGUAGGAGACAUUUAGACAAUAACAUACAGGCUGUGACUGGUAGGAGGCAUGUGGACAAUAACAUACAGGCUGUGACUGGUAGGAGGCAUGUGGACAAUAACAUACAGGCUGUGACUGGUAGGAGGCAUUUAGACAAUAACAUACAGGCUGUGACUGGUAGGAGGCAUGUGGAAUAUAACAUACAGGCUGUGACUGGUAGGAGGCAUUUAGACAAUAACAUACAGGCUGUGACUGGUAAGAGGCAUGUAGACAAUAACAUACAGGCUAUGACUGGUAGGAGGCAUGUACACAAUAACAUACAGGCUGUGACUGGUAGGAGGCGUGUGGACAAUAACAUACAGGCUGUGACUGGUAGGAGGCAUGUAGACAAUAACAUACAGGCUGUGACUGGUAGGAGGUGUAAGGACAGAAACAUACAGGCUAUGACUGGUAGGAGGAAUGUAGACAAUAACAUACAGGCUUUGACUAGUAGGAGGCAUUUAGACAAUAACAUACAGGCUAUGACUGGUAGGAGGCAUGUAGACAAUAACAUACAGGCUAUGACUGGUAAGAGGCAUGUAGACAAUAACAUACAGGCUGUGACUGGUAUGAGGCAUGUAGACAAUAACAUACAGGCUGUGACUGGUAGGAGGCAUGUGGACAAUAACAUAUAGGCUAUGACUGGUAGGAGGCAUGUAGACAAUAACAUACAGGCUGUGACUGGUAGGAGGCAUGUGGACAAUAACAUACAGGCUAUGACUGGUAGGAGACAUUUAGACAAUAACAUACAGGCUGUGACUGGUAGGAGGCAUGUGGACAAUAACAUACAGGCUGUGACUGGUAGGAGGCAUGUGGACAAUAACAUACAGGCUGUGACUGGUAGGAGGCAUUUAGACAAUAACAUACAGGCUGUGACUGGUAGGAGGCAUGUGGAAUAUAACAUACAGGCUGUGACUGGUAGGAGGCAUUUAGACAAUAACAUACAGGCUGUGACUGGUAAGAGGCAUGUAGACAAUAACAUACAGGCUAUGACUGGUAGGAGGCAUGUACACAAUAACAUACAGGCUGUGACUGGUAGGAGGCGUGUGGACAAUAACAUACAGGCUGUGACUGGUAGGAGGCAUGUAGACAAUAACAUACAGGCUGUGACUGGUAGGAGGCAUGUGGACAAUAACAU
rnacentral:misc_RNA from 1 species